AGUGAACGCUGGCGGUAGGCCUAACACAUGCAAGUCGAACGGCAGCACAGUAAGAGCUUGCUCUUACGGGUGGCGAGUGGCGGACGGGUGAGGAAUACAUCGGAAUCUACUUUUUCGUGGGGGAUAACGUAGGGAAACUUACGCUAAUACCGCAUACGACCUACGGGUGAAAGCAGGGGAUCUUCGGACCUUGCGCGAUUGAAUGAGCCGAUGUCGGAUUAGCUAGUUGGCGGGGUAAAGGCCACCAAGGCGACGAUCCGUAGCUGGUCUGAGAGGAUGAUCAGCCACACUGGAACUGAGACACGGUCCAGACUCCUACGGGAGGCAGCAGUGGGGAAUAUUGGACAAUGGGCGAAAGCCUGAUCCAGCCAUACCGCGUGGGUGAAGAAGGCCUUCGGGUUGUAAAGCCCUUUUGUUGGGAAAGAAAAGCAGCAGGUUAAUACCCCGCUGUUCUGACGGUACCCAAAGAAUAAGCACCGGCUAACUUCGUG
rnacentral:rRNA from 1 species